UUCCCGGUGGUCUAGUGGUUAGGACUCGGCACUUUCACUGCCGAGGGCCCAGGUUCAAUCCUUGGUCAGGAAA